rnacentral:rRNA from 1 species
UACGGGGGGGGCAAGCGUUGUUCGGAAUUACUGGGCGUAAAGGGCUCGUAGGUGGCCAACUAAGUCGGACGUGAAAUCCCUCGGCUUAACCGGGGAAUUGCGUCCGAUACUGGUUGGCUUGAGUUUGGGAGAGGGAUGCGGAAUUCCAGGUGUAGCGGUGAAAUGCGUAGAUAUCAGGAGGAACACCGGUGGCGAAGGCGGGUCUCUGGGCCGAUACUGACGCUGAGGAGCGAAAGCGUGGGGAGCAAACAGG